rnacentral:rRNA from 1 species
UACGUAGGGUCCGAGCGUUGUCCGGAAUUAUUGGGCGUAAAGGGCUCGUAGGCGGUUUGUCACGUCGGGAGUGAAAACUCAGGGCUCAACCCUGAGCGUGCUUCCGAUACGGGCAAACUAGAGGUAUGCAGGGGAGAAUGGAAUUCCUGGUGUAGCGGUGGAAUGCGCAGAUAUCGGGAGGAACACCGGUGGCGAAGGCGGUUCUCUGGGCAUUACCUGACGCUGAGGAGCGAAAGCAUGGGGAGCGAACAGG